rnacentral:tRNA from 1 species
GUCUCAGUAGCAUAGUGGUUAGUGCACAGCCCCGGAAAUGUCGAGACGCGGGUUCGAAUCCCGCCGGAGAUG